AGCAGCCGCAGUAAUUCCAGCUCCAAUAGCGUAUAUUAAAGUUGCUGCAGUUAAAAAGCUCGUAGUUGAAUUUCGGGACCAUCAUGUCGGUCGUGCCUCAGUACGUACUGGCAUUGUUGGUUUCUACCUUCUGACGAACCAUGAUGUCAUUUAUUUGGUGUCGUGGGAAAUCAGGACUGUUACUUUGAAAAAAUUAGAGUGUUUAAAGCAGGCUCACGCUUGAAUACAUUAGCAUGGAAUAAUGAAAUAGGACGUUUGAUUCUAUUUUGUUGGUUUCUAGGAUUGACGUAAUGAUUAAUAGGGAUAGUUGGGGGCAUUAGUAUUCAAUUGUCAGAGGUGAAAUUCUUGGAUUUAUUGAAGACUAACUACUGCGAAAGCAUUUGCCAAGGAUGUUUUCAUUAAUCAAGAACGAAAGUUAGGGGAUCAAAGACGAUCAGAUACCGUCGUAGUCUUAACCAUAAACUAUGCCGACUAGGGAUCAGAUGAUGUUAAUUUUUUAAUGACUCAUUCGGCGCCUUAC
rnacentral:rRNA from 1 species